AAUCAACGCUGGCGGCGUGCCUCAGACAUGCAAGUCGAACGCGAAAGUCCCCUUCGGGGGACAAGUAGAGUGGCGCACGGGUGAGUAACACGUAGGUAAUCUACCUUCGGAUGGGGAAUAACAAUCGGAAACGGUUGCUAAUACCGCAUAAUGCAGCGGCACCUAAUGGUGACAGUUGUUAAAGCGGGGGAUCGAAAGACCUCGCGUCUGAAGAGGAGCCUGCGGCGGAUUAGCAGUUGGUAAGGUAAUGGCUUACCAAGGCGACGAUCCGUAACCGGCCUGAGAGGGGCGGUCGGUCACACUGACACUGACAUACGGGUCAGACUCCUACGGGAGGCAGCAGUCGGGAAUUUUGGGCAAUGGGCGAAAGCCUGACCCAGCAACGCCGCGUGAAGGAUGAAAUCCCUC
rnacentral:rRNA from 1 species